rnacentral:tRNA from 1 species
GCAGGGGUACCCAAGCGGUCAACGGGGGCAGACUGUAAAUCUGCUGGCUGGUGCCUUCGGGGGUUCAAAUCCCUCCCCCUGCACCC